CCUACGGGAGGCAGCAGUGAGGAAUAUUGGUCAAUGGGCGCAAGCCUGAACCAGCCAAGUCGCGUGAGGGAUGAAUGUCCUAUGGGUUGUAAACUUCUUUUAUAAGGGAAUAAAGUGAGGCACGUGUGCCUUUUUGUAUGUACCUUAUGAAUAAGGAUCGGCUAACUCCGUGCCAGCAGCCGCGGUAAUACGGAGGAUCCGAGCGUUAUCCGGAUUUAUUGGGUUUAAAGGGUGCGUAGAUGGGGUGUUAAGUCAGUGGUGAAAGGUUGGGGCUCAACCGUAAAAUUGCAGUUGAUACUGGUAGCCUUGAGUAUGGUUGAGGUAGGCGGAAUGCGUGGUGUAGCGGUGAAAUGCUUAGAUAUCACGAAGAACUCCGAGUGCGAAGGCAGCCUAC
rnacentral:rRNA from 1 species